GGAUUUUUACUGGAUUUUUGUAGGUUUUCGGAUUUUCUUCAGAGAUUGAGAUUUAAAGCUGAAAUUUGAGCUUGAUCUCAAAGGAUCUUCAAUGAAACACUGUUUUUUUAGUUUUCUGGAGUUUUUCUAAAUUUUUUUGUUUUUUAUUUUUGAGAAAGCUAAGAUCUAAAAGGAGUUUUCGACCUGAAUUUGAAUUUCAGAUCAGUGGGGGCUUAUGGAUAUUUUUGGGGGGAGUUUUGGG
rnacentral:lncRNA from 1 species